rnacentral:rRNA from 1 species
UACGGAGGGUGCAAGCGUUGUCCGGAAUCACUGGGCGUAAAGGGCGCGUAGGCGGCUCAUGAAGGCUGUGGUGAAAGUCCGGGGCUCAACCUCGGAUCGGCCGUGGCGACUCGUGGGCUGGAGCACUGUAGAGGCGGGUGGAAUUCCGGGUGUAGCGGUGGAAUGCGUAGAGAUCCGGAAGAACACCAGUGGCGAAGGCGGCCCGCUGGGCAGUGGCUGACGCUGAGGCGCGACAGCGUGGGGAGCAAACAGGAUUAUGAAACCC